AGGGAAUCUUGCACAAUGAGGGAAACCUUGAUGCAGCGACGCCGCGUGCGGGACGAAGGCCCUAGGGUUGUAAACCGCUUUCAGUUGGGACGAAAGUGACGGUACCAACAGAAGAAGCCCCGGCCAACUAUGUGCCAGCAGCCGCGGUGAUACAUAGGGGGCAAGCGUUGUCCGGAUUUACUGGGCGUAAAGAGCUCGUAGGCGGUUUACCAAGUCAGAAGUGAAAUCUCCGUGCUUAACACGGAGCGGCCUUUUGAAACUGGUAUGACUUGAGUAUGGUAGAGGAGUGUGGAAUUUCCGGUGUAGCGGUGAAAUGCGCAGAUAUCGGAAGGAACACCUAUGGCGAAGGCAGCACUCUGGGCCAAAACUGACGCUGAGGAGCGAAAGCGUGGGGAGCGAAC
rnacentral:rRNA from 1 species